CUUUAUUCGUUCCACGCCUGUAAUUGAAGUUUCAAUCUCCACAUGUAUCAAUUUAGCAAUAGAACUAAAAUAACCCACUGAGCCUCUCUGCUCUUACGAGGAGAGUGUAUACCACCAUUUUCCAAGCAUUCUAGCAAUAAGAUAGUUUACACGUUUCUUUUUCCUCCAAAAUUUUGUAUCUGUAUUUUUCUUAACAGUUUUCAUAGAUUGUUCUAAUCGAUGCUUAUUCUUCCUAACGAACAAAGCAAUGAAGAAGCCUUCUUUGUCUUCAACCAGAUUCGUCCGCAGCAAAUGUUGG
rnacentral:lncRNA from 1 species